GGCGCGGAUCCGGGGCCAAACCCUCCAGGGCUGCGCUGCAGACAGCGACGGCCAGAGGCGGAUACAGUCGGGUUUAGGGACCGCAGGAGCGAAUUCCCGGAGGCCUGCAGGAGCCGCCCCGCGCCGCGUCCAGCCUUUCUCUCUGGGCCUAGCGGGUCUCCCCCAGGCGCGCCCCUCCCUCCCCACAGGCGCACUUUCUCCACCUGCAUCUGGGGCGAGGCGCGGCUGGGAGCGAAGCACAAGUGGGCUGGGCGAGGUUUGGGGUUCGAGGAUUGCAGAGUGACCGCGGGGUCUGGGGAAGAGUUGUCUUGGUGGCGCCACCAGAGCCCGACCCGCCGCGGCCGGGACCCUGCAGGGCAGGUAGCGACCUGCGGAGAAGCCGCCUGGCGCGGCCGACUCGGCUGCCGGGGCGUGGGCCUGGGCCGGGCGCAGGAGCAGCGGGGAUGCUGGGUGCGCUCCGAGGGUGCGGCCUCCCGGCUGUGCGGGGCUCAGAGCCGGGUGCUGGGCGCGGGGCCUGGCAAAGAAAUCGUUCGACACAGCCGGAAUCCCAGGAAAAUCUACCUUUCUGGAGACUGCAGCUCCUGUGAUAGCUCAACAGACUUCAGUUCCUCACAAAUAUUGCUCUCUACGGUUUCCCCCAAAACACUUCAGGAAAUACAGUGUCCUGUCUUCACAAAUGCUUCUGAAAAAUUUUAUCAAUGUAAACUUUUUAGAUGUUGAUUUUUGAGUAUCCCAGUGAGUAUUAUCUUCUAUGUCAUUAUCCCGGAUCCUAUCUUUGGUGCCAAUUUGACCCAUCCUUAGUGAAUGGUGAGCCUCUCUCAUUUCCAUUUUUAAUGGUAGUGGUGUGUGUCUUAGUCUAUUUGGGAUCCUAUAACAGAAUCUCAUAAACUGGGUGGCUUAUAAGCAACAGAAAUACAUUUCUCAUGGUUCUGGAGGUUGGGAAGUCCAA
rnacentral:lncRNA from 1 species